CUAAAGCCCCCGGCUUUCCUACCAGUCCUUGCUAGAUUGUCAUUUGCUAUGGUCAGCCUUACAGUUUUUUUCUUGUGUGCCUUUUGUGGUUUAGAUCUUAGCUUGGCUUUUUGUAUUUUUGCUCCUGCUCCAGAUACCUGCUACAGUCCUAGAAGCCCAGCCUGCCUGCCUGCCUGAACCUAAUUGCCCGCUCUCAGUCCCAGUCUCUCAGAGGAUUUCAAAGCACCAUCACUACCUAUUGUUUAAUAAAACCUCUGUACCUGUUUCUAACCUUGCUUCCGUGUCUGGUCCUGAAUCCUGGAAAGCCCAGCCUAACAGAGUCAUUUGAAUUGAGAUGCUGUCCAGUGGAAAACUGAAUAUUUGGUGUAUUUUUAGUGUUGCUUCGUGGUUUGAGGAAAUUCUCCUACUCUGCAAAAUAAACCAUUUACAUAAAUAAACUAUGAGAUUUUUACUGGACUA